UACGAAGGGGGCUAGCGUUGUUCGGAAUUACUGGGCGUAAAGCGCACGUAGGCGGGUUGUUAAGUCGGGGGUGAAAUCCUGGAGCUCAACUCCAGAACUGCCUUUGAUACUGGCAACCUAGAGACUGGAAGAGGUUAGUGGAAUUCCCAGUGUAGAGGUGAAAUUCGUAGAUAUUGGGAAGAACACCAGUGGCGAAGGCGGCUAACUGGUCCAGCACUGACGCUGAGGUGCGAAAGCGUGGGGAGCAAACAGG
rnacentral:rRNA from 1 species